GGGAUUGCCCUAGUAACGGCGAGUGAAGCGGCAACAGCUCAAAUUUGAAAUCUGGCCCUAGGCCCGAGUUGUAAUUUGUAGAGGAUGCUUUUGGUGACGUGCUUACCGAGUCCCCUGGAAUGGGGCGCCACAGAGGGUGAGAGCCCCGUAUGGUUUGCCGCCGAGCCUCUGUAAAGCUCCUUCGACGAGUCGAGUAGUUUGGGAAUGCUGCUCUAAAUGGGAGGUAAAUUUCUUCUAAAGCUAAAUACCGGCCAGAGACCGAUAGCGCACAAGUAGAGUGAUCGAAAGAUGAAAAGCACUUUGAAAAGAGGGUUAAAUAGCACGUGAAAUUGUUGAAAGGGAAGCGCUUGUGACCAGACUCGCGCCCGGCGGAUCAUCCGGCGUUCUCGCCGGUGCACUCCGCCGGGAUCGGGCCAGCAUCGGUUUUCGCCGGGGGACAAAAGCUUCGGGAACGUGGCUCCCUUCGGGGAGUGUUAUAGCCCGUUGCAUAAUACCCCGGCGGGGACCGAGGACCGCGCUUCGGCAAGGAUGCUGGCAUAAUGGUCAUCAGCGACCCGUCUUGAAACACGGACCGAGGAGUCAAGCAUUAGUGCGAGUGUUUGGGUGUAAAACCCGCACGCGUAAUGAAAGUGAACGUAGGUGAGAGCUUCGGCGCAUCAUCGACCGAUCCUGAUGUUUUCGGAUGGAUUUGAGUAGGAGCAUUAACGCUUGGACCCGAAAGAUGGUGAACUAUACUUGAAUAGGGUGAAGCCAGAGGAAACUCUGGUGGAGGCUCGCAGCGGUUCUGACGUGCAAAUCGAUCGUCAAAUUUG
rnacentral:rRNA from 1 species